AUUGAACGCUGGCGGCAGGCCUAACACAUGCAAGUCGAGCGGUAGAGAGGUGCUUGCACCUCUUGAGAGCGGCGGACGGGUGAGUAAUGCCUAGGAAUCUGCCUGAUAGUGGGGGAUAACGCUCGGAAACGGACGCUAAUACCGCAUACGUCCUACGGGAGAAAGCAGGGGACCUUCGGGCCUUGCGCUAUCAGAUGAGCCUAGGUCGGAUUAGCUAGUUGGUGAGGUAAUGGCUCACCAAGGCGACGAUCCGUAACUGGUCUGAGAGGAUGGUCAGUGACAUGGGAACUGAGACACAGUCCAGACACCGACGGGAGGAAGCAGUGGGGAAUAUUGGACAAGGGGCGAAAGCGUGAUCCAGCAAAGCCGCGUGUGUGAAGAAGGUCUUCGGAUUGUAAAGCACUUUAAGUUGGGAGGAAGGGUCGUUACCUAAUACGUGACGAUUUUGACGUUACCGACAGAAUAAGCACCGGCUAACUCUGUGCCAGCAGCCGCCGUAAGAC
rnacentral:rRNA from 1 species